rnacentral:tRNA from 2 species
AAGAAUGAAGCAAUUAUGCACUCAGUUUCGACCUGAACAUCUGGUCUUCCCAUUCUUG